AAACCAACCGGGAUUGCCUUAGUAACGGCGAGUGAAGCGGCAAAAGCUCAAAUUUGAAAUCUGGUACCUUCGGUGCCCGAGUUGUAAUUUGGAGAGGGCAACUUUGGGGCCGUUCCUUGUCUAUGUUCCUUGGAACAGGACGUCAUAGAGGGUGAGAAUCCCGUGUGGCGAGGAGUGCGGUUCUUUGUAAAGUGCCUUCGAAGAGUCGAGUUGUUUGGGAACGCAGCUCUAAGUGGGUGGUAAAUUCCAUCUAAAGCUAAAUAUUGGCGAGAGACCGAUAGCGAACAAGUACAGUGAUGGAAAGAUGAAAAGAACUUUGAAAAGAGAGUGAAAAAGUACGUGAAAUUGUUGAAAGGGAAGGGCAUUUGAUCAGACAUGGUGUUUUGUGCCCUCUGCUCCUUGUGGGUAGGGGAAUCUCGCAUUUCACUGGGCCAGCAUCAGUUUUGGUGGCAGGAUAAAUCCAUAGGAAUGUAGCUUGCCUCGGUAAGUAUUAUAGCCUGUGGGAAUACUGCCAGCUGGGACUGAGGACUGCGACGUAAGUCAAGGAUGCUGGCAUAAUGGUUAUAUGCCGC
rnacentral:rRNA from 1 species